ensembl:snoRNA small nucleolar RNA SNORA1
AGCUUCAUUCUAGAUGCAAAUGGGAACUGUUGUGCAUGGUGUCCAGGUAUUACUGAUGUGGCCACACUGAGACAUAGGAUUUGUUUCCAUCACAGUAAGUUUAUUGCAGUGGUGACAAGGAGACCUGUAACAUGU